GACGAACGCGGGCGGGCGUGCCUAAUACAUGCAAGUCGAACGCACGAAGUUGAAGAGCUUGCUCUUUAACCAAGUGAGUGGCGGACGGGUGAGUAACACGUGGGUAACCUGCCCAUUAGAGGGGGAUAACAUUCGGAAACGGAUGCUAAUACCGCAUAGUUUCAGGAAUCGCAUGAUUCUUGAAGGAAAGGUGGCUUCGGCUACCACUAAUGGAUGGACCCGCGGCGUAUUAGCUAGUUGGUGAGGUAAUGGCUCACCAAGGCAAUGAUACGUAGCCGACCUGAGAGGGUGAUCGGCCACACUGGGACUGAGACACGGCCCAGACUCCUACGGGAGGCAGCAGUAGGGAAUCUUCCGCAAUGGACGAAAGUCUGACGGAGCAACGCCGCGUGAGUGAAGAAGGUUUUCGGAUCGUAAAACUCUGUUGUUAAAGAAGAACAAGGAUGAGAGUAACUGCUCAUCCCCUGACGGUAUUUAACCAGAAAGCCACGGCUAACUACGUGCCAGCAGCCGCGGUAAUACGUAGGUGGCAAGCGUUGUCCGGAUUUAUUGGGCGUAAAGCGAGCGCAGGCGGUUCUUUAAGUCUGAUGUGAAAGCCCCCGGCUCAACCGGGGAGGGUCAUUGGAAACUGGAGAACUUGAGUGCAGAAGAGGAGAGUGGAAUUCCACGUGUAGCGGUGAAAUGCGUAGAUAUGUGGAGGAACACCAGUGGCGAAGGCGACUCUCUGGUCUGUAACUGACGCUGAGGCUCGAAAGCGUGGGGAGCAAACAGG
rnacentral:rRNA from 1 species